rnacentral:rRNA from 1 species
ACGAACGCUUGCGGCGUGCUUAACACAUGCAAGUCGAACGGAAAGGCCCUGCUUUUGUGGGGUGCUCGAGUGGCGAACGGGUGAGUAACACGUGAGUAACCUGCCCUUGACUUUGGGAUAACUUCAGGAAACUGGGGCUAAUACCGGAUAGGAGCUCCUGCUGCAUGGUGGGGGUUGGAAAGUUUCGGCGGUUGGGGAUGGACUCGCGGCUUAUCAGCUUGUUGGUGGGGUAGUGGCUUACCAAGGCUUUGACGGGUAGCCGGCCUGAGAGGGUGACCGGCCACAUGGGGACUGAGAUACGGCCCAGACUCCUACGGGAGGCAGCAGUGGGGAAUAUUGCACAAUGGGCGGAAGCCUGAUGCAGCAACGCCGCGUGCGGGAUGACGGCCUUCGGGUUGUAAACCGCUUUCGCCUGUGACGAAGCGUGAGUGACGGUAAUGGGUAAAGAAGCACCGGCUAACUACGUG